rnacentral:rRNA from 1 species
UGGGGAAUUUUGCACAAUGGGGGAAACCCUGAUGCAGCGACGCCGCGUGAUUUAGAAGGCCUUCGGGUUGUAAAAAUCUUUUGUAUGGGAAGAAAAUGACAGUACCAUACGAAUAAGGACCGGCUAAUUACGUGCCAGCAGCCGCGGUAAUACGUAAGGUCCGAGCGUUGUCCGGAAUCAUUGGGCGUAAAGGGUACGUAGGCGGAUAAGCAAGUUAGAAGUGAAAUCCUAUAGCUCAACUAUAGUAAGCUUUUAAAACUGCUCAUCUUGAGGUAUGCAAGGGAAAGUGGAAUUCCUAGUGUAGCGGUGAAAUGCGCAGAUAUUAGGAGGAAUACCGGUGGCGAAGGCGACUUUCUGGCCAUAUACUGACGCUGAGGUACGAAAGCGUGGGUAGCAAACAGG